AACGAACGCUGGCGGCAGGCUUAACACAUGCAAGUCGAACGGACGUAGCAAUACGUCAGUGGCAGACGGGUGAGUAACGCGUGGGAAUAUGCCCUUUAGUUCGGAAUAACUCAGGGAAACUUGAGCUAAUACCGGAUAAGCCCGAGAGGGGAAAGAUUUAUCGCUGAAGGAGUAGCCCGCGUCUGAUUAGCUAGUUGGUGAGGUAAUGGCUCACCAAGGCGACGAUCAGUAGCUGGUCUGAGAGGAUGAUCAGCCACACUGGGACUGAGACACGGCCCAGACUCCUACGGGAGGCAGCAGUGGGGAAUAUUGGACAAUGGGGGCAACCCUGAUCCAGCCAUGCCGCGUGAGUGAUGAAGGCCUUAGGGUUGUAAAACUCUUUUAUCCGGGAAGAUAAUGACUGUACCGGAAGAAUAAGCCCCGGCUAACUUCGUGCCAGCCGCCGCCGUAAGAC
rnacentral:rRNA from 1 species